GAUGAACGCUGGCGGCGUGCCUAAUACAUGCAAGUCGAGCGAAUGGAUUGAGAGCUUGCUCUCAAGAAGUUAGCGGCGGACGGGUGAGUAACACGUGGGUAACCUGCCCAUAAGACUGGGAUAACUCCGGGAAACCGGGGCUAAUACCGGAUAACAUUUUGAACUGCAUGGUUCGAAAUUGAAAGGCGGCUUCGGCUGUCACUUAUGGAUGGACCCGCGUCGCAUUAGCUAGUUGGUGAGGUAACGGCUCACCAAGGCAACGAUGCGUAGCCGACCUGAGAGGGUGAUCGGCCACACUGGGACUGAGACACGGCCCAGACUCCUACGGGAGGCGGCAGUAGGGAAUCUUCCGCAAUGGACGAAAGUCUGACGGAGCAACGCCGCGUGAGUGAUGAAGGCUUUCGGGUCGUAAAACUCUGUUGUUAGGGAAGAACAAGUGCUAGUUGAAUAAGCAGGCACCUUGACGGUACCUAACCAGAAAGCCACGGCUAACUACGUGCCAGCCGCCGCAGUAA
rnacentral:rRNA from 1 species